GGUCGUGUAGCUCACUCGGCAGAGCAUUGCACAAACUUACCUACUGAUGCGAUCCCCAGUUCGAAUCUGGGCACGACCA